UACGGAGGGGGGCUAGCGUUGUUCGGAAUUACUGGGCGUAAAGCGCACGUAGGCGGAUAUUUAAGUCAGGGGUGAAAUCCUGGAGCUCAACUCCAGAACUGCCUUUGAUACUGGCAACCUAGAGACUGGAAGAGGUUAGUGGAAUUCCCAGUGUAGAGGUGAAAUUCGUAGAUAUUCGCAAGAACACCAGUGGCGAAGGCGGCUCACUGGGCCCGGUACUGACGCUGAGGUGCGAAAGCGUGGGGAGCAAACAGGG
rnacentral:rRNA from 1 species